UACGUAGGGACCAAGCGUUGUUCGGAUUUACUGGGCGUAAAGGGCGCGUAGGCGGCGCGGUAAGUCCGCUGUGAAAGUCGGGGGCUCAACCCUCGAAUGCCGGUGGAUACUGUCGGGCUAGAGUGCGGAAGAGGCGAGUGGAAUUCCUGGUGUAGCGGUGAAAUGCGCAGAUAUCAGGAGGAACACCAAUUGCGAAGGCAGCUCGCUGGGACGUAACUGACGCUGAGACGCGAAAGCGUGGGGAGCAAACAGG
rnacentral:rRNA from 1 species